rnacentral:lncRNA from 1 species
GAGACAGUGAGAGAGAGCAUGAAUGAGGAGAAGGUAAGAGAGAGAAGCAGACUCCCCAUGGAGCUGGGAGUCCGAUGCGGGACUCGAUCCCAGGACUCCAGGAUCAUGACCUGAGCCGAAGGCAGUCGUCCAACCAACUGAGCCACCCAGGCAUCCUUCCUCCGUGUUUUUUGCAUGAUAUAAAAAGGUUGGAAGCAGAAAUGCCAAGAACUUAACUCGGGAUCUGAACCUCACCUGUCUUUGAGUGGUGUGUGUGUUUGUGCAUGUGUGUAUGCGUGUGUUAGAGGGAGUUUCAGUAGAUUGUAAUGGAUAUAGGCCCACCUGAAGUGGAAAAGGGGACUUGUGAGAGUUUCUACUGAGACAGAGAAGAAAGGGGUUUUCCUAGGCCCUGGUGGUCCAACGUAGAGCAAAACAUGCUUUCAUUUCUCAAGAAGCCUUAUGGGUCCCAGAAACUGUAGUUGAAGAAGUCGGUGACUGUUAGGUGUGAGAAGUAAUUGGCAGUGUGGACAGAUAUAGAAAUAAUACUCUAGGGGUAUGUGUGUGUGUGUGAGUGCAAAUACGCACAUAUGCAGGUGUGUAUUUGUAUAUGUGCUAUAAAAAUUAGGGAAGAACCAGCCUGGAUGACACCUGACUAAGUCGUAGUGGAGUCAGUUACCUAAGGCAGUGAAGGCUGGGAGGCAGAGGGAGG